AAGUCGUAACAAGGUCUCCGUUGGUGAACCAGCGGAGGGAUCAUUGCUGGAACAAACGCCCUAACGGGUGCUACCCAGAAACCCUUUGUGAAUACUACCUAAAAAAUGUUGCCUCGGCGCAGGUUGGCCCUUCUACAGGGUCCCUUCUCCCCUAGGGGUUUAGGAGCAGACCGGCCGGCGGCCCUAUAAACUCUUGUUUUUGUAAAAUCAUCUGAGUAAAAAAAAAUAAAUGAAUCAAAACUUUCAACAACGGAUCUCUUGGUUCUG
rnacentral:misc_RNA from 1 species